rnacentral:rRNA from 1 species
UACGUAGGGGGCUAGCGUUGUCCGGAAUUAUUGGGCGUAAAGAGCGUGUAGGCGGUCCGGUAAGUCCGCUGUGAAAGUCGGGGGCUCAACCCUCGAAUGCCGGUGGAUACUGUCGGGCUAGAGUGUGGAAGAGGCGAGUGGAAUUCCUGGUGUAGCGGUGAAAUGCGCAGAUAUCAGGAGGAACACCCGUAGCGAAGGCGGCACUCUGGGCCGAUACUGACACUGAGGAGCGAAAGCGUGGGGAGCGAACAGG